rnacentral:rRNA from 1 species
AACGAACGCUGGCGGCAUGCCUAACACAUACAAGUCGAACGAGACCUUCGGGUCUAGUGGCGCACGGGUGCGUAACGCGUGGGAACCUGCCCUUAGGUUCGGAAUAACUCCCCGAAAGGGGUGCUAAUACCGGAUAAUGUCUUCGGACCAAAGAUUUAUCGCCUUUGGAUGGGCCCGCGUUGGAUUAGCUAGUUGGUAGGGUAAAAGCCUACCAAGGCGACGAUCCAUAGCUGGUCUGAGAGGAUGAUCAGCCACACUGGGACUGAGACACGGCCCAGACUCCUACGGGAGGCAGCAGUGGGGAAUAUUGGACAAUGGGCGAAAGCCUGAUACAGCAAUGCCGCGUGAGUGAUGAAGGCCUUAGGGUUGUAAAGCUCUUUUACCCGGGAUGAUAAUGACAGUACCGGGAGAAUAAGCUCCGGCUAACUCCGUG